AUUGAACGCUGGCGGCAUGCUUUACACAUGCAAGUCGAACGGCAGCACGGAGAGCUUGCUCUCUGGUGGCGAGUGGCGAACGGGUGAGUAAUAUAUCGGAACGUGUCCAAUAAUGGGGGAUAACUAGUCGAAAGAUUAGCUAAUACCGCAUACGCCCUGAGGGGGAAAGUGGGGGAUCUUCGGACCUCACGUUAAUGGAGCGGCCGAUAUCUGAUUAGCUAGUUGGUGGGGUAAAAGCCUACCAAGGCGACGAUCAGUAGCUGGUCUGAGAGGAUGAUCAGCCACACUGGGACUGAGACACGGCCCAGACUCCUACGGGAGGCAGCAGUGGGGAAUUUUGGACAAUGGGCGAAAGCCUGAUCCAGCCAUGCCGCGUGAGUGAAGAAGGCCUUCGGGUUGUAAAGCUCUUUCGCAAGGAAAGAAAACUUACAUAUUAAUACUAUGUGAGGAUGACGGUACCUUGAUAAGAAGCACCGGCUAACUACG
rnacentral:rRNA from 1 species